rnacentral:lncRNA from 7 species
AGUUUCAGUGCAUGGCACAAACCAGCACACCGGUGGAGUGCUGCUCAAUCUGAAUGCCUAUAUGAAGAAGAAAGGAUGAAAGGCCAGGGAUGAUACUCUCAUGUCCUUUAGCCACUUCUCUAUGUUAGAUUCACUCAGGAGUGUUUGCAAGAGGGAAAGGGGCAAAGCUUCUGUAUAGAAGAACUUUUCAAGCUGAAGAAGAUUGUACAGCCAGUGCCCACCUGCUCAAGUGAAUUCAGAGGCAGGUCAUGAACUGAUGCAAGAUCAAGGAAUGUAGUACUGUUUGGCUGUUGAAAAGGUGGUUGAAAAAUGUUUUGGGUCCUACCCUGUAAGUAUUUACCCGUGGGUCAUGUGGGAUUUUUCAAAAUUCUAAAUAGGGACAUUCAUCAGCUAACAAAUUAGCUAACAAAACAGUUUUGCUGAAUGUCAAAAGUAAGAUGUUCAGACUAGAAAUAUGAAUUAAAAACAGGAUGGUGAAUUUGCUACCACUUAGCCUUUAAAAUAAAGUCAAUUUUUUUCUAUCAGAAGCUCUUUCUGGAAGAAGUUCUGUGUCCAUUCAUAUGAGUAUGUGCAAGAUACCUGGAGUUUUAUGCUUGUUAAAUUCAUUUCUAACAUUUGAUCUGUAAUUAGGUUUAUACCAUCUGUUAUGUUCAAUGGCUGGGGAAAUCUCUUUCUCAGAUUUAUUUGAGGCACUUUCAGUUUUCUCUGUUCUUCAUGUGUUAUGAACAAGGCAUAGUUUAUGAGAUAUUUAAGUGCCCCAAAUUAGCAACAUCCUACUGCUGGCCAGUAGCACAUAGUUCUGCAUUCUACCAGCUGGAAUUUUUCUCUAAAUCUGUAUAAAAGAAUAUUUUUAUAGAACUUAAUGACUUAUACUGGUAUAGGUCAGAAUGGAAGAUGUAGUACUCCCUCAUGGAUGUAAAUGAUCUGCAGUGAAACAUUUCUAUGUGAGGUAUUGUGCUGAACAAGUAUCAGGCAUGUUUCAGUGAAAAGAUUAAGAAGUGGCUUAUGGCAUAUCUUUAAGAGGCAGCAUGACACCAUUAGUGAAAACCAAAACAAAUGUUUUUUAAAUUGAAUGUACAUUAAGUUAAAAUAUAAAAAUAAAUGAGAAUGUACUGAACC